UACGUAGGGUGCGAGCGUUGUCCGGAAUUAUUGGGCGUAAAGAGCUUGUAGGCGGUCUGUCGCGUCUGCUGUGAAAAUCCGGGGCUCAACCCCGGACUUGCAGUGGGUACGGGCAGGCUAGAGUGUGGUAGGGGAGACUGGAAUUCCUGGUGUAGCGGUGAAAUGCGCAGAUAUCAGGAGGAACACCGAUGGCGAAGGCAGGUCUCUGGGACGGUACUGACGCUGAGACGCGAAAGCGUGGGGAGCGAACAGG
rnacentral:rRNA from 1 species